UGAGCGUUCCGGCCGCCCGAACGGCCGGGCGGGGGAGGCGAGGGAGCCGGGGACCCACCUUUCCCGGGGUGAAUCGGCGCAUCCCCCACCGGAUCCCGUCCAGGGGACGGAUGUGCCGUAGGGCGACUUCCAGCCCGAACCCGUCAGCUAACCCGGUAGGCGUCUGGAAGAAGGAGU
rnacentral:sRNA from 2 species